UCGGGAAUUUUGGGCAAUGGGCGAAAGCCUGACCCAGCAACGCCGCGUGAGGGAUGAAGUAUUUCGGUAUGUAAACCUCGAAAGAAUGGGAAGAAUAAAUGACGGUACCAUUUAUAAGCUCCGGCUAACUACGUGCCAGCAGCCGCGGUAAUACGUAGGGAGCAAGCGUUGUUCGGAUUUACUGGGCGUAAAGGGCGCGUAGGCGGCGCGGUAAGUCACUUGUGAAAUCUCUGAGCUUAACUCAGAACGGCCAAGUGAUACUGCUGUGCUAGAGUGCGGAAGAGGCAACCGGAAUUCUUGGUGUAGCGGUGAAAUGCGUAGAUAUCAAGAGGAACACCUGAGGCGAAGGCGGGUUGCUGGGCCGACACUGACGCGGAUGCGCGAAAGCCAGGGGAGCAAACG
rnacentral:rRNA from 1 species